GACGUAGGGCGCGAGCGUUUGUCCGGAUUUAUUGGGCGUAAAGAGCUCGUAGGCGGCUUGUCGCGUCGUCCGUGAAAACCUGCAGCUCAACUGUAGGCUUGCGGUCGAUACGGGCAGGCUAGAGUUCGGUAGGGGAGACUGGAAUUCCUGGUGUAGCGGUGGAAUGCGCAGAUAUCAGGAGGAACACCGGUGGCGAAGGCAGCCCCCUGGGCUGACACUGACGCUCAGGCACGAAAGCGUGGGGAGCGAACAGG
rnacentral:rRNA from 1 species